UUAAGCGACUAAGCGUACACGGUGGAUGCCCUGGCAGUCAGAGGCGAUGAAGGACGUGCUAAUCUGCGAAAAGCGUCGGUAAGGUGAUAUGAACCGUUAUAGCCGGCGAUGUCCGAAUGGGGAAACCCAGUGCAAUUCGUUGCACUAUCGUUAACUGAAUACAUAGGUUAACGAGGCGAACCGGGGGAACUGAAACAUCUAAGUACCCCGAGGAAAAGAAAUCAACCGAGAUUCCCCCAGUAGCGGCGAGCGAACGGGGAGCAGCCCGGAGUCUGAAUCAGCUUGUGUGUUAGUGGAAGCGUCUGGAAAGUCGCAGGGUACAGGGUGAUACUCCCGUACACUAAAACACACAGGCUGUGAACUCGAAGAGUAGGGCGGGACACGUGGUAUCCUGUCUGAAUAUGGGGGGACCAUCCUCCAAGGCUAAAUACUCCUGACUGACCGAUAGUGAACCAGUACCGUGAGGGAAAGGCGAAAAGAACCCCGGCGAGGGGAGUGAAAAAGAACCUGAAACCGUGUACGUACAAGCAGUAGGAGCCCACUUGUUGGGUGACUGCGUACCUUUUGUAUAAUGGGUCAGCGACUUAUAUUCUGUAGCAAGGUUAACCGUAUAGGGGAGCCGCAGGGAAACCGAGUCUUAACUGGGCGUUAAGUUGCAGGGUAUAGACCCGAAACCCGGUGAUCUAGCCAUGGGCAGGUUGAAGGUUGGGUAACACUAACUGGAGGACCGAACCGACUAAUGUUGAAAAAUUAGCGGAUGACUUGUGGCUGGGGGUGAAAGGCCAAUCAAACCGGGAGAUAGCUGGUUCUCCCCGAAAGCUAUUUAGGUAGCGCCUCGUGAAUUCAUCUUCGGGGGUAGAGCACUGUUUCGGCUAGGGGGUCAUCCCGACUUACCAACCCGAUGCAAACUACGAAUACCGAAGAAUGUUAUCACGGGAGACACACGGCGGGUGCUAACGUCCGUCGUGAAGAGGGAAACAACCCAGACCGCCAGCUAAGGUCCCAAAGUCAUGGUUAAGUGGGAAACGAUGUGGGAAGGCCCAGACAGCCAGGAUGUUGGCUUAGAAGCAGCCAUCAUUUAAAGAAAGCGUAAUAGCUCACUGGUCGAGUCGGCCUGCGCGGAAGAUGUAACGGGGCUAAACCAUGCACCGAAGCUGCGGCAGCGACACUAUGUGUUGUUGGGUAGGGGAGCGUUCUGUAAGCCGUUGAAGGUGGCCUGUGAGGGUUGCUGGAGGUAUCAGAAGUGCGAAUGCUGACAUAAGUAACGAUAAUGCGGGUGAAAAACCCGCACGCCGGAAGACCAAGGGUUCCUGUCCAACGUUAAUCGGGGCAGGGUGAGUCGACCCCUAAGGCGAGGCCGAAAGGCGUAGUCGAUGGGAAACAGGUUAAUAUUCCUGUACUUGGUGUUACUGCGAAGGGGGGACGGAGAAGGCUAUGUUGGCCGGGCGACGGUUGUCCCGGUUUAAGCAUGUAGGCGGAUGUUCCAGGUAAAUCCGGAACGUUAUCAACGCUGAGGUGUGAUGACGAGGCACUACGGUGCUGAAGUGACAAAUGCCCUGCUUCCAGGAAAAGCCUCUAAGCAUCAGGUAACAUCAAAUCGUACCCCAAACCGACACAGGUGGUCAGGUAGAGAAUACCAAGGCGCUUGAGAGAACUCGGGUGAAGGAACUAGGCAAAAUGGUGCCGUAACUUCGGGAGAAGGCACGCUGAUGGUAAGUGAAGCGACUUGCUCGUGGAGCUGAAAUCAGUCGAAGAUACCAGCUGGCUGCAACUGUUUAUUAAAAACACAGCACUGUGCAAACACGAAAGUGGACGUAUACGGUGUGACGCCUGCCCGGUGCCGGAAGGUUAAUUGAUGGGGUUAUCCUCGCGGAGAAGCUCUUGAUCGAAGCCCCGGUAAACGGCGGCCGUAACUAUAACGGUCCUAAGGUAGCGAAAUUCCUUGUCGGGUAAGUUCCGACCUGCACGAAUGGCGUAAUGAUGGCCAGGCUGUCUCCACCCGAGACUCAGUGAAAUUGAACUCGCUGUGAAGAUGCAGUGUACCCGCGGCAAGACGGAAAGACCCCGUGAACCUUUACUAUAGCUUGACACUGAACACUGGUCCUUGAUGUGUAGGAUAGGUGGGAGGCUUUGAAGUGUGGACGCCAGUCUGCAUGGAGCCAUCCUUGAAAUACCACCCUUUAAUGGCUGGUGUUCUAACGUGGGCCCGUAAUCCGGGUUGCGGACAGUGUCUGGUGGGUAGUUUGACUGGGGCGGUCUCCUCCUAAAGAGUAACGGAGGAGCACGAAGGUCAGCUAAUCCUGGUCGGACAUCAGGAGGUUAGUGCAAUGGCAUAAGCUGGCUUGACUGCGAGCGUGACGGCGCGAGCAGGUGCGAAAGCAGGUCAUAGUGAUCCGGUGGUUCUGAAUGGAAGGGCCAUCGCUCAACGGAUAAAAGGUACUCCGGGGAUAACAGGCUGAUACCGCCCAAGAGUUCAUAUCGACGGCGGUGUUUGGCACCUCGAUGUCGGCUCAUCACAUCCUGGGGCUGAAGUAGGUCCCAAGGGUAUGGCUGUUCGCCAUUUAAAGUGGUACGCGAGCUGGGUUUAGAACGUCGUGAGACAGUUCGGUCCCUAUCUGCCGUGGGCGCUGGAGAAUUGAGGGGGGCUGCUCCUAGUACGAGAGGACCGGAGUGGACGCAUCACUGGUGUUCGGGUUGUCAUGCCAAUGGCAUUGCCCGGUAGCUAAAUGCGGAAGAGAUAAGUGCUGAAAGCAUCUAAGCACGAAACUUGCCCCGAGAUGAGUUCUCCCUGACCCUUUAAGGGUCCUGAAGGAACGUUGAAGACGACGACGUUGAUAGGCCGGGUGUGUAAGCGCAGCGAUGCGUUGAGCUAACCGGUACUAAUGAACCGUGAGGCUUAACCUU
rnacentral:rRNA from 1 species